rnacentral:lncRNA from 1 species
AUGAUCUGGUGUGAGAUUUUUCAUGUCAUUACUGAAGGCCUACUGGAGGACGUCAGAUGCAUAACAUUCUUCCUACCCCCAGUCAUGCCCAGAAUAAGCCUUGCACAUGAUACAUUAUGUGAUGGGUAUGGGAAGGGUAAGAAUGAGUUAAAGGUCCAGUUUGUUCCAGAUCCCAGUAAGUGGCAGCACAUGAGGAUAGAGGCAUCGCCGUGGAGGCAGAGCUCUGAGGAAUCAUGUUGCCUUUAGUUUUGAUGUCAAAGAUGACCCUGUAUCAGGAUGGGCCACAAAAUCCUGCAUAGAUCAUUUCCCACAUUUAAAAAAAGCCAGCCCUUACUUGAUCCUCCCGUCUUAUCUGUAGUUCCUAGCUAGGACCUCUGAUUUUCAUUUUUUUUUCCUGUUUUCCUUUUUGAAUUUGAAUUUAAAAAAAUAUUGUAGGGUACGUUAGAGCACAGUUCUGGUGUCUGACUGCCUGAGAUCAUACAUUUAUUGGCUAUGGGAGUGUGAUAAAGAUAAUUAACCUUAUCAUGGCUCAGGUUUUUCAGGUGUAAAUUGGGGGCAGUGACAGUAUCUACUUCAGGUACUUGUUGUGAUGAUUAAGUGAGUUAAUACAUGAACAGCUCCAGCAACAAUGCUGAGCACAUGGUUAGCGUUCAACAGGUCUUAGCUAUUGUUGCGAAUAUUGUUCUCUUGUUUGUUUUUACAUUCCAUGCAAGCCAUGAUGAUAAAAUUACUGAAAGCUACCCAAAUACUCCCAUAUUAAAAAUGUUUGCAGUUAAAUUGAUAAAGUAUGCAUACAUAAAAUAUUUAAAGAAGGGUUAAAAGGCCAUGUUUGAGAAAAAACAUUUAGACUAAUUACCCACACAAGUAGUGAGGAUGAUGAAUUUGGGGAAAGACAUUUAAUAGGGAGCCUAUCGCUUAAAAAGGGGAGGACCUUGAAGAAAUAGUAUUUAGUUUGGGAUUUUGUGGGAGGACGACUGGCCAGUGUGGACAACCGCAUUCGGUGGCCCAGCACCCAUCCCCGCAUGCCCUUUUCUGCUACUCUCACUCUCACUUGACUCUUCUGAAACAUUCUUUCAGUCUACUUUUGUUGGGUGUGUGGGUCAAAAGUUCAGGAACCUGUCGCUCUGACAUAGUACCAGGUUGCUCAUGUCGAGUUGCAGUUUUCAUCGUGAUUUCAGAAGUCGAGUUUUCCACAGCACUCUAUCAGCUUCUCUUCAAGGCAUAUGAAAGCUGAUUUCAAAGAAAACAUUGGCCCUACUUGGUGAAAAAUAAAGCACUUCUUGAGCUUUGAACA